rnacentral:rRNA from 1 species
CCUACGGGGUGCAGCAGUGGGGGAUAUUGCACAAUGGGGGAAACCCUGAUGCAGCGACGCCGCGUGAGUGAAGAAGUAUUUCGGUAUGUAAAGCUCUAUCAGCAGGGAAGUAAAUGACAGUACCUGACCAAUAAGCCCCGGCUAACUACGUGCCAGCAGCCGCGGUAAUACGUAGGGGGCAAGCGUUAUCCGGAUUUACUGGGUGUAAAGGGAGCGUAGACGGUUAUGUAAGUCAGUAGUGAAAGGCCGGGGCCCAACCCCGGGACUGCAUUGGAUACUGUGUAACUGGAGUACAGGAGAGGCAGGCGGAAUUCGUGGUGUAGCGGUGAAAUGCGUAGAUAUCAGGAGGAACCCCGGCGGCGAAGGCGGCUUGCUGAACUGUAACUGACGUUGAGGCUCGAAAGCGUGGGGAGCAAACAGGAUUAGAUACCCGUGUAGUC